rnacentral:lncRNA from 1 species
AUAACAACUCAUAAUGAGGCCAAAUAUGCAUACCCUUUCGGAUCACGUUACGUCACCUCAAGUUUUUCGUGGUAUACAUGUAAAUCAGUCUUUAGUUUUUAAUGUUUUAUAUUCUGGUGUUCUAAUUUAUUAUAUUUUUUUUUGCAAGGCGUUGUCAUAUUUGGCUAGGAUGAAAUUUGAAAAAAAUAGCCAGGACAGGAGUUUUGAGUAAAAAAAAAGGCAGGAUGAGACACUUGCAAAAAAAAAAAGUCAGGAUAAACUAAAAAAAAAAGGCAGGACCGAACAGAGUGAAAAAUAAAAAGGCAGGACAGAGAUUACAGCUAAAAAAAAUGCAGGACAAACUUUUUCAUCCUAGCCCCCCCCCCC